AUAACAUUAAAAUAUUGCCUGUCAAAUAACAGCUUAUUAAUCACCUCCUACAAUCCCAUAAAUGUGAGCUCAGGUAGCCAGCCAUAAAUGUGAGCUCAGGUAGCCAGCCAUAAAUGUGAGCUCAGGUAGCCAGCCGUAAAUUUGAGCUCAGGUAGCCAGCCAUAAAUGUGAGCUCAGGUAGCCAGCCAUAAAUGUGAGCUCAGGUAGCCAGCCGUAAAUGUGAGCUCAGGUAGCCAGCCAUAAAUGUGAGCUUAGGUAGCCAGCCGUAAUGUGAGCUCAGGUAGCCAGCCGUAAAUGUGAGCUCAGGUAGGUAGCCGUAAAUGUGAGCUCAGGUAGCCAGCCAUAAAUGUGAGCUCAGAUAGCCAGCCGUAAAUGUGAGCUCAGGUAGCCAGCCGUAAAUUUGAGUUCAGGUAGCCAGCCGUAAAUUUGAGCUCAGGUAGCCAGCCAUAAAUGUGAGCUCAGGUAGCCAGCCAUAAAUGUGAGCUCAGGUAGCCAGCCGUAAAUUGAGAAAUUAAAGGGAAUCUCCACCCAAAAACGACGUUUUGGUAUUUGUUUCAUUAGUCAAUUGUUGACAUAGUCCCAAAAUGUCUUGCUUGUCAGCAAUCAAGUUUCCAAGAUAUGUAACUUUCAAAAUACAUAAAUCAUCCCUGUGUGAUU
ensembl:lncRNA